CCUACGGGGUGCAGCAGUGAGGAAUAUUGGACAAUGGACGAGAGUCUGAACCAGCCAAGUAGCGUGAAGGAUGACUGCCCUAUGGGUUGUAAACUUCUUCUACAUGGGAAUAAAAUGUUCCACGUGUGGGAUUUUGUAUGUACCAUAUGAAUAAGGAUCGGCUAACUCCGGGCCAGCAGCCGAGGUAAUACGGAGGAUCCGAGCGUUAUCCGGAUUUAUUGGGUUUAAAGGGAGCGUAGGUGGAUUGUUAAGUCAGUUGUGAAAGUUUGCGGCUCAACCGGAAAAUUGCAGUUGAAACUGGCAGUCUUGAGUACAGUAGAGGUGGGCGGAAUUCGUGGUGUAGCGGUGAAAUGCGUAGAUAUCACGAAGAACUCCGAUUGCGAAGGCAGCUCACUGGACUGCAACUGACACUGAGGCUCGAAAGUGUGGGUAGCAAACAGGAUUAGAUACCCCUGUAGUC
rnacentral:rRNA from 1 species